UGGGGAAUAUUGGACAAUGGGCGAAAGCCUGAUCCAGCCAUGCCGCGUGUGUGAAGAAGGUCUUCGGAUUGUAAAGCACUUUAAGUUGGGAGGAAGGGCAGUAAGCGAAUACCUUGCUGUUUUGACGUUACCGACAGAAUAAGCACCGGCUAACUCUGUGCCAGCAGCCGCGGUAAUACAGAGGGUGCAAGCGUUAAUCGGAAUUACUGGGCGUAAAGCGCGCGUAGGUGGUUCGUUAAGUUGAAUGUGAAAGCCCCGGGCUCAACCUGGGAACUGCAUCCAAAACUGGCGAGCUAGAGUAGGGCAGAGGGUGGUGGAAUUUCCUGUGUAGCGGUGAAAUGCGUAGAUAUAGGAAGGAACACCAGUGGCGAAGGCGACCACCUGGGCUCAUACUGACACUGGGGUGCGAAAGCGUGGGGGGCAAACAGG
rnacentral:rRNA from 1 species